GGAAAUGCUGAGCGGGCCUCCCUCAAAACUUAGUCCUGCAUGGUGGCGCUGAAAAAAGAAACAAACAAUUAACUCAAUGCUGCUGUCUUGGACAACAAAUCAUCAACAGUCGGCGCGACGCUGAGAGGACUGCCGGAGACAUAAAGCAGAUGUAGUAAUCUGGCUCACACCCCUUCACUUGAAGGAUAUGGAAGGAAGGUUGAGGUAAUGGCAUGCUGGCACAAGUCAGCUUGGCUGCCCCACUGAAGACACAAAAAACCACGAGGCGACUUGACCUCCCUCCCCAACCCCCAUGGGAGAAGCCGAGGAACAGCUGCUGCACCAUCAUCGCAAGAGCGAGUGUGUCUGAGCAGAAAGAGGAGCUGUGUUCCUGCCAUAAUCCAUCAUGUCACAGGAGCCGAUGUUUCCAUCCAGACGUUGUCGAGCCACCUGUUAGGUGAACAGGUGCACAAAGUGAGGCCUGUCAAAACACUUACCUUGAAUUAACAGCAAUUCUGUCUGUAAAUGAUCCUUUGAUAAAAAUAUAUUUUAUAAUAAUACAAUAUAAAGGGUGUUAUAAAAUAAUAGUAUGGAUAAGUAUUAUCCACAAAGAUAUGUUAAUUGAUCUUGUUAAGAAUGUUAAAAAAGAUAUGAUAUAUCUCCUCUCCCCUGAAAAAAAAAUCUGAAUGUAUAAAUAUGCAAUUAAACUUUUAAUUGUAAAAUACUUAAAGUACCUUGUGGAGUGCCAAUCACAUACACUGUUACCGUGAGAUUUUAUCCUAUUUAACUCAAAUUGAGGUUGAGCGUGGAAGAUCUCUCCCUCUUGGGCAGAUGAAUAUGGAAACAGCCUCCUAGUGUCAAGCUCUUCACGUCAACAUGCACAGGGAAGGCCAAACAUCAGGGAGAAACAACAAUAACUAAAACACUUGGAGUGGACAGGGACUUUAACAUUUUCAAUGGUUGAAGUUUUAAGUCAUGGUUAAGUGAGAAACAAUUUGCCUAAGAAAUGUUGAAUUCACCCAGUAGGAAUGGGGUUGUCAGAGGUGAAGGCGAAUGUAUCCACCUGUCCAACACCAUGACCGCAGCACUUAUUUCUCACUGCACAGGUCUACAGUACAUCAGGAACAGUACAUGCACAGUGAAGUAAUCCUUGCAUGCGGGUGACAUUUAUUUCCUUCACUCUUCAUGCAUACAGACAGUAUUUUAAGUAGCAUAUUGCGCGUGUCAUCGU